GAGAGCCGUAUGCGGGAGAUCCGCCUGUACGGUUCGGAGGGGGGGGGAAGGCGAAAGCCUUUCCUACCCCCU
rfam:Candidatus Brocadia sinica JPN1 DNA, contig: brosiA.